rnacentral:other from 1 species
UCAACCCUGCAGCGUUCGGGAUGCCGCGCUCCGUUUUGGGCCAACACUUUUUGAACGGGUUCCUUAAUUUUCGAAAUAAUGCGAUAGGCGACGGCCAAGGCUGCGUUUCGGAACAGGUCAACCCACCUGCUCAGGCAGGUUCAAAACCAGGCGGCGAGCGGCGCUGCGGGGCUUUU